AUUGAACGCUGGCGGCAGGCCUAACACAUGCAAGUCGAACGGUAACAGGGAUCAGCUUGCUGAUUCGCUGACGAGUGGCGGACGGGUGAGUAAUGUCUGGGAAACUGCCUGAUGGAGGGGGAUAACUACUGGAAACGGUAGCUAAUACCGCAUAACGUCGCAAGACCAAAGAGGGGGACCUUCGGGCCUCUUGCCAUCGGAUGUGCCCAGAUGGGAUUAGCUAGUAGGUGGGGUAACGGCUCACCUAGGCGACGAUCCCUAGCUGGUCUGAGAGGAUGACCAGCCACACGGGAACUGAGACACGGUCCAGACUCCUACGGGAGGCAGCAGUGGGGAAUAUUGCACAAUGGGCGCAAGCCUGAUGCAGCCAUGCCGCGUGUAUGAAGAAGGCCUUCGGGUUGUAAAGUACUUUCAGCGGGGAGGAAGGGAGUAAAGUUAAUACCUUUGCUCAUUGACGUUACCCGCAGAAGAAGCACCGGCUAACUCCGUG
rnacentral:rRNA from 1 species